UACGUAGGGUCCAAGCGUUAUCCGGAAUCACUGGGCGUAAAGCGUGCGUAGGUGGUAAUUUGCGUGCAGUGCGAAAUUGUGUGGCUCAACCAUACAACGGUACUGCAUACGGGAUUACUAGAGGACAUGAGAGGCAAGUGGAAUUACUGGUGUAGCAGUGAAAUGCGUAGAUAUCAGUAGGAACACCAAUGGCGAAAGCACUCUGCUGGGCCGACACUGACACUGAGAGACGAAAGCUAGGGGAGCGAAUGGG
rnacentral:rRNA from 1 species